rnacentral:rRNA from 1 species
UACAGAGGAGCCAAGCGUUGUCCGGAUUGACUGGGCGUAAAGCGCACGCAGGCGGUCCGAUGCGUCGUGCGUGAAAGACCCCGGCUCAACUGGGGAGGGUCGUGCGAUACGGUCGGACUCGAGGCCAGUAGGGGGACGCGGAAUUCCGGGUGUAGUGGUGGAAUGCGUAGAGAUCCGGAGGAACACCAGCGGCGAAGGCGGCGUCCUGGACUGGUACUGACGCUCAGGAGCGAAAGCGUGGGAGCGAUCCGG